rnacentral:lncRNA from 1 species
GAUAAAACAAAAAAGGAAUGAUGUAAUAAAAUCUGAUUUUUUUUAUGAAAAUAAAAAAAAAUGAAAUCUCUAUCCCCACCUCCUUUUAAAGAAUCCAUCCAGGCCACCUCAAUCAAUGCACAUGGCCGCUCACCAUAAAAUCCUUUUCUACUACUUAUACCUUUCUGCUUUCUUCAUCCCCCCAGUAUACAUUUCUCUCUUUCUCUCUCAAUCUAUCUCUAUCUCUCUCUUAUCUAGUAUUUGAUAACAGUAUAUGUCGUAGAUUUCAUCAGAAAAGGGAAAAGAACGAGUUGAUGCAGAUCAUAAUUCAAGCAGAAAUAAAAUAGAAUGGUUCAAUAGCACUGUUCGAGUGCGAAAAUUCAUCAGAGUAGGUUCCAAAUUAUACAGAUAUGUGAAGGUUUUGAUUGUUUUUUUUCGAGAAUUUAUUAAGACUAUUUAUCUUGAAGCAGAAAAUAACGAAGGAGUUUAGAGAGAAGGUGAAAGAAAAAGAGAAAGAGAAGAAAGCCCGUCAAGACGCAGAGGCCAAACAAUUAGCUGCAGAAGGAAUAAACGUUGCGGCAGAGGCUGAGCCAGCAAUCCC